rnacentral:lncRNA from 1 species
UUACAGAUUCAGACCGAAUUUUCAGCAAACUGACCAAAAUAUCCUUAUACCUUUUUCUCUCUCCUCUUUUUUUUUUUUCUCUCGUUCUUUUUUUUUUUCUCUUCCCAGAGAGCCGCGGAGGCGGAGGCUGCCCGCUUCGGUUUUGUCCGACACAUCCUUACCCUUGCCCGCGCAUCCCCCGCCUUCCUCGCCUCUGAUCCCGCCGAGGUCGCACUAUGACUUUUUUUUUUCCCCUCUCCGACUCUCCUCCACCGCCUCCGACGAUGACGCCUAUCUCACCCUGUCUCGCCCUCCUACCCUUUCCCUCUCCCUCCUCCUUCGCCUCCUCCGCUACCUCCGAUGACGACGCCUCUCUGUCGACAUCGGCGCCGCGGAGGUCGCUACGGUGCCGCAGCCUUGGAGCGGGGGGUCUUUAGCGACGCCGGCGAAACCGUUGGUGGAGAGGCGUGACAAAAAAAAAUUAUAGAAGAAGGAAGAAGAAAAAAAAUAACGACAAAAAAUUAUAUAAGAAGGAAAAAGUAGAUGUAAUUGCACCAUUAAAAUAAGAUUACACUGUUUUAAAAUAAAUU